UACAGAGGUCUCAAGCGUUGUUCGGAUUCAUUGGGCGUAAAGGGUGCGUAGGCGGCGCGGUAAGUCGGGUGUGAAAUCUCGGAGCUUAACUCCGAAACUGCAUUCGAUACUGCCGUGCUUGAGGACUGGAGAGGAGACUGGAAUCUACGGUGUAGCGGUGAAAUGCGUAGAUAUCGUAAGGAAGACCAGUGGCGAAGGCGGGUCUCUGGACAGUUCCUGACGCUGAGGCACGAAGGCCAGGGGAGCAAACGGG
rnacentral:rRNA from 1 species